rnacentral:snRNA from 1 species
GUGCUCUCUUCGGCAGCACAUAUACUAAAAUUGGAGCCAUACAAAGUUUAGCAUGGCCCCUGAGCGAGAUGACAUGCAAAUUCAUGAGGCAUUCCAUAUUUUU